GACGAAGGGGGCGAGCGUUGUUCGGAAUCACUGGGCGUAAAGGGCGCGUAGGCGGCGCAGUCAGUCAGGCGUGAAAGCCCCGAGCUCAACUUGGGAAAUGCGCUUGAUACUAUUGUGCUAGAGUCCGGAAGAGGAGAGUGGAAUUCCUGGUGUAGCGGUGAAAUGCGCAGAUAUCAGGAAGAACACCCGUGGCUAAGGCGGCUCUCUAGUACGGUACUGACGCUGAGACGCGAAAGCGUGGGGAGCGAACAGG
rnacentral:rRNA from 1 species